UAUCCCCCUUACCCCAGUCACUGUCCAUUUCUUGUUUUUAAAGGAUGAGAGAAGUGCUACACCUGGUUGAGAGAGAUCGUAAGACAGAAAUAUUUGCUUUGUGUGCUGUACGUUACGGCAUGACACGUCACGAUGUAAUGGAGGGUCAGUUCUCAACUUUUCUCCAAUACUAUAGAGCCAUUACCAUGUCGAUCAACGCUUGAAUAGAAACCUAGUUCACACCCCCAAUUUUGAAGUCACAGUCGCUACAGUCCCAUUAGUUCUUUGUAGCCUCGUUUGAAUGUUGCGGUUUCGCACAUUUGUACGCAACUUUACUUAGAAAUUAGUAUUUCAACAACUCGUCUUCAAACUUGUUAGGCAAUCACAUGUACCUAUGGGGGAAGGAUGGCCAGCCACACCUGAGGAGACUGAACAUCAAGAAGGCACAGGAUAAGCAGAGUGAAAGACUUGGUUUGGAAGAAGGACGAAAGGAAGGCGAAACCUCGCUGCUCCUUAGCUCCAAGCUGGGGUCAUCAUUCGUUAAAGUAAAUAUUUGAAAUUCUCAGAUAAUAACAAUUUGAAUUUGCACACAAAAUAACCUGAAGCUAGUUUUGGUUUUCCUAACACUGACAUUUCUCUUCAUAACGGUUACCUCGGAGGAAGCCAAAAACCUUCACCAGUUGGGCGGUCGACCACAAAGCCCCGACGCCCUACAUGUCUGAAGCCUGUGAGACAAAGUAUGUUAAGCUUUGGUCGACAUUUGAGAAAGCAAGAAAUGGUAGUUUUGCUGAGUGCAUAAAAAUGUACCUCUUAAAUCUCUCCAAAUGACUUUAGGACAGUCAACUGUCCGAGCCACCCAGGUGGUGUCCCAUCCACCAGAGCCAGUGAGUUCGGAUCAGUCUGAUUCUCUGUGCUAUAAGUCAGAAGGGGACCAGCUUGAGCUAGGCUAUACUUUCAAAAUCUGUUGAAAAAGUACAUAUCUCCCCUUCAUAACACUGCACUAAUCCGUCAAAUGUUCUUCCAGGUGGCUUGCGUCAGACUGGAGGAACAGGGGCGGUUAAGUCCAGACUAGAAGACACUAGUGGGGUUCGCGUCACUAGUGUCCAACAGGGACAGGUGCAGCAUCCAGAAUUAGGAGGCCUCCUCACAGUGAGCGGCAUCACCAUGCUGUCAGCAGUACCAACACUGGCUCAGGGGUUUGUCCAGAUAGUCAAUCUCAAGGCUAACCACUGGGUCACAGUAAGUAACCGUCGCUGCCAGGUAGGUAUGUGGUGGUUUAUAACUCCAGUGGUUGCAACACCACCCCAGAGUUUCUCACAACUCACCUCUCCCUUAUCUUUUCCAGGGACCUCUGACUGUGGAGUGGCUGACAGUCCAGUAGAAGAAAGGGGGCACAUAUUGUGGGCUGUUUGCUAUUGCAAACACUUACUCUCUGCAGAGAUGAGGAACGCUCCAUGGCACGAUACCAUCAGAAUUCGUUUUCAGGCUGGGCACAUGGCACCAUUUCCCAGUCCCGAUUCCAUUCCCCAUCCAGGAGAUGCGAUGAAAUUCUACAUCUGGUGACUUCUGAUUGCCCAACAAUCUUCCCAUCCCAUCAUCUAAAGCUACUGCUAAUGAAGUUUGACAGCCGUAUCAUACAGGGCACAUAAUGUGAAAUACACUGAUGAACUAAAAACCACUAGCACUGCAAACAAAGAGCAGGAGUGCUCCCUUCCAAGACUGCAUGUUGAAAACAAGUGACAAGCAGAACCUCCCAACCACAGCACCCACCCCUUUAUUCCACACAUCAGAAUGAAGUAUUUUAGUCUGAUUGCCAUGUGUGUACAAAAAAAAUCUAAAAGACAACUGUACCAAAAAACAAAGUUUGUAUUAAAAAUCAGGUUGGUUUUCAAAGCGGUUUCAGAAGGUGUUCAUUAUUGUAAGGCAUCUUUUGAUGGUAUUUAUUUGUUCCACUGUCACGCCUUGGUCUUAGUAUUUUGUGUUUUCUUUAUUUUUUCAGGCCAGGGU